GACGAACGCUGGCGGCGUGCUUAACACAUGCAAGUCGAACGAUGAAGCUGGAGCUUGCUCCAGUGGAUUAGUGGCGAACGGGUGAGUAACACGUGAGCAAUCUGCCCUUGACUCUGGGAUAACUGCGGGAAACUGUAGCUAAUACCGGAUACGACACCUUGGGGCAUCCCGGGGUGUGGAAAGAAUUUCGGUCAAGGAUGAGCUCGCGGCCUAUCAGCUUGUUGGUGAGGUAAAGGCUCACCAAGGCGACGACGGGUAGCCGGCCUGAGAGGGUGACCGGCCACACUGGAACUGAGACACGGUCCAGACUCCUACGGGAGGCAGCAGUGGGGAAUAUUGCACAAUGGGCGAAAGCCUGAUGCAGCAACGCCGCGUGAGGGAUGACGGCCUUCGGGUCGUAAACCUCAUUUAGCAGGGAAGAAGCGAAAGUGACGGUACCUGCAGAAAAAGCACCGGCUAACUACGUGCCAGCCGCCGCCGUAA
rnacentral:rRNA from 1 species